rnacentral:lncRNA from 1 species
CCCGUGCUGACAGUGAUUUGUGCGGGGGGGAGAGGCCAGCUCUGCUCUGAAACGCGAGCCCCGAAUAAAUAAAUCAUGGCCUUCCCUUGGCAGCUCGACAGCACGGGCUCUGGCCCGUCCUGGGUGUGCGGGGAGGGCCUCCCACUGUCCAGGAGCUUUUAAGGGCUGGGUCUGCCCGCGGCCGGCUGAGGAGCCGCUCUGCAGGGCAGGGGACCAUGGAGGGGAACACGCACCUCCUGCAGGUCAUCCGCAAGAUGCGCUCCCAAAUCAACAGGCUGGAGAGGGAGAACAGGGCCCUGAAAGGAGAGCUGCGGGGCUGCGGGCAGAGAGCUGUGCCGGCAGCGGGAGGUGGGAACGGCGGUGCCAUCGCCUUUGAUGGGGACGGAGCGGCUGCAGCCGCAGCAUCCCCGCAGGGCCCGGCGCCGCUGGAGCAGACAGAUACUGCCAUGACUGUGAGACGCUACCCCACUGUCUCCCCAGCUCCUGCUCCUUCCAGCACAAGGUCCCACGGGGCUGGCAGGAAGCCUCCAAGCAAUGGGCUCCCAGAGGUGCCAGGCAGUGCCCAGCCACCAGCCCCUCCUGCUCCAGCACAGCUCAGCAGGGAAGAGGAGAAAGGGCUUGAAAAAUCACCAGCCUGUUGUCUCUCCUACAGCCACUCCAGCAACAUGAAGAUGUUUCAGGAGCAUGUCUAUAAGUGCCAGGGUAAAGUGAAGGCUGUGAGUUUCCUCUUACCAAUGGAUAUGUCAUCAUUUGCUGAAAAGCAAGGUUCUCUCAAAAGCCCACAAAAUCAGAGCACAAAACAUCUAAUGACCAUCACUGAAAAGGAUAUGUGA